AUAUGGUCGACCUGCAGGCGGCCGCGAAUUCACUAGUGAUUCGUAUUACCGCGGCUGCUGGCACGUAGUUAGCCGGUGCUUAUUCUUCAGGUACCGUCAUUAGACCUCUGUAUUAGAAAAGUCCGUUUCUUCCCUGACAAAAGAGCUUUACAACCCGAAGGCCUUCUUCACUCACGCGGCAUUGCUGGAUCAGGCUUGCGCCCAUUGUCCAAAAUUCCCCACUGCUGCCUCCCGUAGGAGUCUGGACCGUGUCUCAGUUCCAGUGUGGCUGGUCGUCCUCUCAGACCAGCUACUGAUCGAUGCCUUGGUAGGCUUUUACCCUACCAACUAGCUAAUCAGAUAUCGGCCGCUCCAGGAGCAUGAGGUUCUUGCGAAUCCCCCACUUUCAUCCUUAGAUCGUAUGCGGUAUUAGCGUAACUUUCGCUACGUUAUCCCCCACUCCAGGGUACGUUCCGAUAUAUUACUCACCCGUUCGCCACUCGCCGCCAGGUUGCCCCGCGCUGCCGUUCGACUUGCAUGUGUAAGGCAUGCCGCCAGCGUUCAAUCUGAGCCAUGAUCAAACUCUAAUCGAAUUCCCGCGGCCG
rnacentral:rRNA from 1 species